ACCGCCACGGAUGGCGGUGGUUAUAACAGAAGCGAUAUUUUGGCAUUGCCAAAAUUCGCCAUCAACCGAUGUACACGGAAGUUCAUCGGUUGAUGAGG
rnacentral:sRNA from 1 species